CCUACGGGAGGCAGCAGUGAGGAAUAUUGGUCAAUGGCCGUAAGUCUGAACCAGCCAAGUAGCGUGAGGGAAGACUGCCCUAUGGGUUGUAAACUUCUUUUAUGCGGGGAUAAAGCUGUCCACGUGUGCAUUUUUGCAUGUACCUCAUGAAUAAGGACCGGCUAAUUCCGUGCCAGCAGCCGCGGUAAUACGGAGGGUCCGAGCGUUAUCCGGAUUUAUUGGGUUUAAAGGGAGCGUAGGCGGGUCUUUAAGUGUGCCGUGAAAUUUUGUGGCUCAACCGUGAGAUUGCGGGGGGAACUGGAGACCUUGAGUGCGGGUAAGGUAGGCGGAAUUCGUGGUGUAGCGGUGAAAUGCUUAGAUAUCACGAAGAACCCCGAUUGCGAAGGCAGCCUGCCGCAGUGUGACUGACGCUGAAGCUCGAAAGCGUGGGUAGCGAACAGGAUUAGAUACCCCAGUAGUC
rnacentral:rRNA from 1 species